AUGAACGCUGGCGGCGUGCCUAAUACAUGCAAGUCGCGCGCACGGACGAGAAGCUUGCUUCUCUGAUGUUAGCGGCGGACGGGUGAGUAACACGUGGAUAACCUACCUAUAAGACUGGGAUAACUUCGGGAAACCGGAGCUAAUACCGGAUAAUAUUUUGAACCGCAUGGUUCAAAAGUGAAAGACGGUCUUGCUGUCACUUAUAGAUGGAUCCGCGCUGCAUUAGCUAGUUGGUAAGGUAACGGCUUACCAAGGCAACGAUGCAUAGCCGACCUGAGAGGGUGAUCGGCCACACUGGAACUGAGACACGGUCCAGACUCCUACGGGAGGCAGCAGUAGGGAAUCUUCCGCAAUGGGCGAAAGCCUGACGGAGCAACGCCGCGUGAGUGAUGAAGGUCUUCGGAUCGUAAAACUCUGUUAUUAGGGAAGAACAUAUGUGUAAGUAACUGUGCACAUCUUGACGGUACCUAAUCAGAAAGCCACGGCUAACUACGUG
rnacentral:rRNA from 1 species